rnacentral:rRNA from 1 species
UAGGUCCCAAGGGUUGGGCUGUUCGCCCAUUAAAGUGGUACGCGAGCUGGGUUCAGAACGUCGUGAGACAGUUCGGUCCCUAUCCGUCGCAGGCGUAGGAAAUUUGAGAAGACCUGUCCUUAGUACGAGAGGACCGGGAUGGACGUACCUCUGGUGUACCAGUUGUCCUGCCAAGGGCAUGGCUGGGUAGCUAUGUACGGAAUGGAUAAGCGCUGAAAGCAUCUAAGCGCGAAGCCAACUUCAAGAUAAGAUUUCCCACCGCAAGGGUAAGACCCCAGAAAGACUAUCUGGUUGAUAGGUCGAAGGUGUAAGUGCAGCAAUGUAUUUAGCUUAUCGAUACUAAUAGGUCGAGGACUUGACCAAU